GUGCCAGCCGCCGCGGUAAUACCGGCAGCUCGAGUGAUGGCCGAUUUUAUUGGGCCUAAAGCGUCCGUAGCCGGCCCUGCAAGUUCAUCGGGAAAUCCGCCAGCCCAACGGGUGGGCGUCCGGUAGAAACUGGCCGGCUUGGAACCGGAAGGCUCAGAGAGUACGUCCGGGGUAGGAGUGAAAUCCCGUAAUCCCGGACGGACUACCGAUGGCGAAAGCACUCUGAGAAGACGGCUUCGACAGUGAGGGACGAAAGCUCGGGUCUCAAACCGGAUUAGAUACCCGGGUAGUCC
rnacentral:rRNA from 1 species